ensembl:lncRNA
GGAGAAGGCUGUGCAGCAGAGAGGCUGCUUAGUCUUUUCAUUCUGCUGAAUUUGUUCAUCUGCUGUGUGACUUCAGCACCUGAAACAUGUUCCUUUACCUGUUGGUACUUUUCUCUCACUGCAUAGCUUUGGGCUCCAUGAACAGCAUAAAGCAGGAACGUGCUGAAGAAGCUGUUGCAGAGCGAGGAAACAUCAACCUGACCUGUACAUAUGAUGGUUCUAUCUACAAUAUCCAGUGGUACCGACAAUACCAGAGAUCCAGACCAGAGUUCCUGCUCUACAUCACAGAGGGAGGAUCAGUUCAUCGAGCUGUGUCGGGAUUCUCAGCUCACAUUGACAAAACAGAGAAACGUGCAGAUCUGGAGAUCUCCUCUGCUGCAGUGUCUGACUCUGCUGUGUACUACUGUGCUCUGCAGCCCACAGUGACAGGAAACAGCAAAACUCUGUACAAAAACCUUUGGAGCAAAGACAACAGAAUACUCCACAACAUCCACUAGAGGGAGCCACACACUGUUAAACCUCUGAUUCUUGUGUCAUUGGACUGAUGACAAAGACAACAGAGAAAUGAAGCAGUAAAGAUCAGAGACAGAGACAGAGCUGCUGUGGAAGCACAGAACUGUUUGAUUGGCUCAGCUAUUAAACUGGCCCCGCCCACUGAACCUGAGCUCAUCCAAUGACAUUAUUUGUUGGUCAUUGUGCUGCAAUGGAAGAACAUUGUUCAUGUGCUGUCUGUCUGGCUUUAAUAACUCCAAAGACAUGUUGCUGCACCUCUUUUUGCUUCUAUCUCACAUUAUAGGACUAACAGCUGGAGACUCAAUCACUCCUCAACAACCUGAAGUCACUGAAACAGAAGGAGAAUCUGUCACACUCACAUGUAGCUAUGAGACAAGUGCAAGUGAUCCUUGGCUUUAUUGGUACAGACAUGAUUCUGACCUUCAGGCUGCUCAGUUUAUAUUGUGGAAAGGAGCAAGAUCAUGGAGUGAUCAAUAUAUUCCUGAUAAAUGAUAUGAAUCAGAAACAUCUUCUACAACAACUAAUCUGACCAUAACAGCCCUAACCCUGGCAGACACAGCUCUCUACUACUGUGCUCUACAAAC